AUGAAAGUGAAGUCGCUCAGUCGUGUCCGACUCCUAGCGACCCCAUGGACUGCAACCUACCAGGCCCCUACGUCCAUGGGACUUUCCAGGCAAGAGCACUGGAGUGGGGUGCCAUCGCCUUCUCCGAGCGACUUGGGAAGGUCCUCUUAUCCUGGAGCCAUCUGUGUAUCUGUGACCAAGAUCCCAUCCCCAGGAGGUCAGGAGGCAUCCCCUCACCCCCGCACAUCUCGAGGGAGGCACAAAGGCCUGGGUGUGUCCCCACAGCCCGGCUGGACUGUCCGAGCCCCACCUUGGAUGCCCAGGGACAGAAGCCAACUUGGGAGUUGCUGUCUGGGUCGUGCUGGGAGAUGGGACCCCCUCUGUGCUGCAGGAACCUUCCUGGGACAGCAAGUUUGGGGAUCAGGCUGUCCUCAGCUGAGCCCUUCAACUGCCACUGACUAUGGGGGCGACCUUGGCCCUUACCUCCCUGAGCCUCAACAUCCUCAUCUGUAAAAUUCAACCUCAGAUGUUCUUGUGAAGUUUAGCUGUGAUCGUCCAAGAAAUGUAUUUAAUAUAGCCCCAGGUGUGGAGUAUUCCAUGGACAGAGGAGACUGGCGGGCUACGGUCCAUAGGGUUGCAAAGAGUCGGACACGACUGAGCGACUGACACUUUGACUUUUUCACAGGCAGGAGGUGAACAUAAGCCUUGGCUUUGCGGCUAUUAGGAGCCAGAGAAAUAGGAGGGGGACUGGGUGUGGAGUGCCCUCUGCUGGACGAUGAUGACACAACAGCAGGGCUGCCCAGACCAGAGACCACUCAACAUCUCAGAACCUCUUCUGUAAAAAUGAUGGAAUGGUGAUGUCAACAUCGUGAGGAGGUUAUUUGAGAACUGAUUGAGCUAAUGCAUGUAAAAUUACUAGAUUAAUGUGAUGAACUAAAGGUAAGUGCAAAUUCCUUAUCUAGUGGCCUCCCCAUCUGGAGAUGGAGUUUAUUAAGAAGAAAGUGGUGGUGACAUUUUAAGGCUGCCAGCUUCUGCUUACUGACUCUUGGAACACUUGCUCUUGGGAAAGAGUCUUGGAAAACCCAGCUGCUAAGUUUUGGGAAGCCUAAGCCACAUGGAGAGGUCGUGGGCAGACGCUGCAGUUGACCAUCCCAGCUGAAGCACUGAGAGUCUGUACACCCCUUAUCUACACUAUACCAUUUGAUGGAGGGUAAAGAACCCCACCCAGAACAGAUCCCUUGUAGCAGAAGAUUUAGAUCUAAUGGCUGAAAGAAUCAAAUAUUGCCGCAUGCUAAGUCGCUGCAGUCGUGUCCAACUCUUUGCAACCCCAUGGACUGUAGCCUGCCAGGCUCCACUGUCCAUGGGAUUCUCCAGGCAAGAAUAUUGGAGUGGGUUGCCAUGCCCCCAUCCAGGGGAUCUUCCUGACCCAGGGGGAUUGAAUCUACGUCUCCUUCACUGUCAGGUGGGUUCUUUACUUCUAGUGCCACCUGGGAAACCCAAUCAAAUACUACAUAUUUGUGAUUUGGGCUUACUAUGCCCCAGGAAAGUGAACAAACCCGAAGCCUUUGGGGAACAGUUCAGAGAAGGACUUCACAGGAUAAAUAGGAAGCAUGUACAGACAAUUCAUAGAAUAGUCGACAGAAAACUUGGGUGCGUAUGCAUGUGAUAAAUGACUCAUCUUUUUGUGGAAUUUUUUUAAUCCAGGGUUGUUUUGUUUUGUUUUUUGGACAGCACCACAGCAUGUGGGAUCUUAGUUCUCCGACCAGGAAUCAAACCCAUGCCCCCUGCAGUGGAAGUGCAGAAUCCUAACCACUGGAUUGUUAGGGUAUUCCUGGAAAUUAAAAAAAAAUAAGUCUCAAGUACUUAGAUUCUGCAUUGAUUAGAACUAGGAUUGAAACCAUUGGCCCCAAGUUUCAAAGGUGCUGAUGGGGGGACUUACCUGGUGGUCCAAUAGUUAAGAAUCCACCUUCCAAUGCACGGGAGGUAUGUUCGAGCAUUGAUGCAGAACCAAGAUUCCACAUGCCUUGAGGCGAGUAGGCCUACACCCUGUAUUAAGACCCAAUGCAACUAAAUAAAUAAAUUAAAAUUAAG
rnacentral:lncRNA from 1 species